AACAAAGUGUCAGAGGAUCCAUUUAAUUGGGAAAUUUAUUGGUCAGCUACAGCAGCAUAGGAGACGACGACAUACUGUCUGGCCCUCUCUUGUUGGCUUUCUUUGGCUCGCAUGUUUUGCGGUUUGCUGGAAAUGCUUUCACACACAGGGGAAAGUGGUCCACUAAAAAAUAAAAAGAAGAAACAACGAUACAAACUAGAGACAAAUUCGUGUAAAAGAAGUGGAUUUGUUUUGAAUGACAACAACGUGUGUGGCUAACAUGUUGGUAUUUCUAUUCAAUCUCAUAUUUGUAUUACGUAUUAUAUAUAGUAUUGUAGUGGAAUAUUUUGUGAGCUCGUUCCGAUUAUGAGACUUUCCCGCUAAUUAUAUUUGUACAGGCCACACGCUAUGGACAUUCAGAGACAUUGUUCAUUGCUCAACAUUUUUUCAUUUUCCAGCUACUUAUCAAUCGUAUUUUCCAAGAGUCUCGUCUAAUCCUAGGCGGAAAAGUGGUCCUCGCUGCCAAACGACUAAUGAGCAUUUCUUUCCAUUAUCUCAUCAUGCAAAUGUACGCAAUUGCGAAGCGUAUCCUAACGCCGGGAAUUGGACUUGCACAACUCUGCGUAACGUGAAAGAUCCGUCACAGAUGGCACAAGGUGAAGUCCUAAUCUGUUUUUGGUCAGAUAAAAACCACAGAUGCAGAUACAUAAACACUCACACACACACACACACACACACACUAUUGCAGUUGCAGUUUCCGUUGCGAAAUGAGUUUGUCAGCUAUGGGAUGACAGACCUUCGUAAUAUCCCCUUAAUUAAAAAGACGUUCAUCAUCGAUUUGUUUAUUAUGCAAUUGCAAUUUCAAUUGCAUUCAUAUCAAACCAGAUAUCGACCAAAACAAACAUCCAGGCAGCGCCCAACUGUGCCAAAAGGUAAACCAGUAGGUGGUGCCGGAAGUGCCCGAGAAUCCAUCCACAAAACAAACCUAGGUGAGGUAUCUGUUGUGCAGUUUCCCAUCAACAGGAGACAACAAACUAAUCAAAACUAAUGAUGACAUAAUUGGCUCGGAAGCAGGACCCUAUGUGUGGGUCCUCUGUGUAAUCGAAUAGGAAUUGAUAUAGGAAGAAAACUGAGGAAGUGGCUGACGCAGUGCGAAAACAAAGCCACAUACAAAUUGGGUCUACCAAGGAAACAAACAUCAGCCAUCAGUCAGGGGUCCUCAAAAAAAAGAAGGAAGAAGACGGAAAGAACAUCUCGCACAAGUUACAAGCAAAUAAAAAGAAAACGAGAAAAAAGUGAAAAAAGAUAA